rnacentral:rRNA from 1 species
AACCUACGGGACGCAGCAGUGAGGAAUAUUGGUCAAUGGGCGAGAGCCUGAACCAGCCAAGUCGCGUGAGGGAGUACUGCCCUAUGGGUUGUAAACCUCUUUUGUCGGGGAGCAAAAGCCGGACGUGUCCGGCUGUGAGAGUACCCGAAGAAUAAGCCACGGCUAACUACGUGCCAGCAGCCGCGGUAAUACGUAGGUGGCAAGCGUUGUCCGGAUUUACUGGGUGUAAAGGGCGUGCAGCCGGGAAGACAAGUCAGAUGUGAAAUCCCGCGGCUCAACCGCGGAACUGCAUUUGAAACUGUUUU